rnacentral:rRNA from 1 species
CCUANGGGUGGCAGCAGUGGGGAAUUUUGGACAAUGGGCGCAAGCCUGAUCCAGCCAUGCCGCGUGCGGGAAGAAGGCCUUCGGGUUGUAAACCGCUUUUGUCAGGGAAGAAAUCCCUUGAGCUAAUACGUCAGGGGGAUGACGGUACCUGAAGAAUAAGCACCGGCUAACUACGUGCCAGCAGCCGCGGUAAUACGUAGGGUGCGAGCGUUAAUCGGAAUUACUGGGCGUAAAGCGUGCGCAGGCGGUUGUGCAAGCCAGAUGUGAAAUCCCCGGGCUUAACCUGGGAACUGCAUUUGUGACUGCACGGCUAGAGUACGGCAGAGGGGGAUGGAAUUCCGCGUGUAGCAGUGAAAUGCGUAGAUAUGCGGAGGAACACCGAUGGCGAAGGCAGUCCCCUGGGCCUGUACUGACGCUCAUGCACGAAAGCGUGGGGAGCAAACAGGAUUAGAUACCCUANUANUC